rnacentral:rRNA from 1 species
UACAGAGGUGGCAAGCGUUGUUCGGAAUUACUGGGCGUAAAGAGCUCGUAGGUGGUUUGUCGCGUUGUUCGUGAAAACUCACAGCUCAACUGUGGGCGUGCGGGCGAUACGGGCAGACUUGAGUACUGCAGGGGAGACUGGAAUUCCUGGUGUAGCGGUGGAAUGCGCAGAUAUCGAGAGGAACACCUGCGGCGAAGGCGGGUUGCUGGGCUGACACGUGACGCUGAGGCGCGAAAGCUAGGGGAGCGAACGGG